UGCCCUCCGAAGGCAGAGGUCAAAGGUUCGAAUCCUUUCGGGUGCGCCA
rnacentral:tRNA from 1 species